rnacentral:rRNA from 1 species
AACGAACGCUGGCGGCGUGCCUAACACAUGCAAGUCGUGCGAGAAAGUUCCUUCGGGAGCGAGUAAAGCGGCGCACGGGUGAGUAACACGUAGGUAACCUGCCCCCAAGUCUGGAACAACUGGAGGAAACUCCAGCUAAUGCCGGAUGAGACCACGAUCCCUUCGGGGGUUGCGGCCAAAGAUGGCCUCUACUUGUAAGCUAUCGCUGAGGGAUGGGCCUGCGGGCCAUUAGCUUGUUGGUGAGGUAACGGCUCACCAAGGCUGUGAUGGCUAGCUGGUCUGAGAGGAUGACCAGCCACACUGGGACUGAGACACGGCCCAGACUCCUACGGGAGGCAGCAGUGGGGAAUAUUGCGCAAUGGGCGAAAGCCUGACGCAGCGACGCCGCGUGGGUGAUGAAGGCCU